GAUGAACGCUGGCGGCGUGCCUAAUACAUGCAAGUCGAGCGAACGGACGAGAAGCUUGCUUCUCUGAUGUUAGCGGCGGACGGGUGAGUAACACGCGGAUAACCUACCUAUAAGACUGGGAUAACUUCGGGAAACCGGAGCUAAUACCGGAUAAUAUUUUGAACCGCAUGGUUCAAAAGUGAAAGACGGUCUUGCUGUCACUUAUAGAUGGAUCCGCGCUGCAUUAGCUAGUUGGUAAGGUAACGGCUUACCAAGGCAACGAUGCAUAGCCGACCUGAGAGGGUGAUCGGCCACACUGGAACUGAGACACGGUCCAGACUCCUACGGGAGGCAGCAGUAGGGAAUCUUCCGCAAUGGGCGAAAGCCUGACGGAGCAACGCCGCGUGAGUGAUGAAGGUCUUCGGAUCGUAAAACUCUGUUAUUAGGGAAGAACAUAUGUGUAAGUAACUGUGCACAUCUUGACGGUACCUAAUCAGAAAGCCACGGCUAACUACGUGCCAGCAGCCGCGGUAAUACGUAGGUGGCAAGCGUUAUCCGGAAUUAUUGGGCGUAAAGCGCGCGUAGGCGGUUUUUUAGUCUGAUGUGAAAGCCCACGGCUCAACCGUGGAGGGUCAUUGGAAACUGGAAAACUUGAGUGCAGAAGAGGAAAGUGGAAUUCCAUGUGUAGCGGUGAAAUGCGCAGAGAUAUGGAGGAACACCAGUGGCGAAGGCGACUUUCUGGUCUGUAACUGACGCUGAUGUGCGAAAGCGUGGGGAUCAAACAGGAUUAGAUACCCUGGUAGUCCACGCCGUAAACGAUGAGUGCUAAGUGUUAGGGGGUUUCCGCCCCUUAGUGCUGCAGCUAACGCAUUAAGCACUCCGCCUGGGGAGUACGACCGCAAGGUUGAAACUCAAAGGAAUUGACGGGGACCCGCACAAGCGGUGGAGCAUGUGGUUUAAUUCGAAGCAACGCGAAGAACCUUACCAAAUCUUGACAUCCUUUGACAACUCUAGAGAUAGAGCUUUCCCCUUCGGGGGACAAAGUGACAGGUGGUGCAUGGUUGUCGUCAGCUCGUGUCGUGAGAUGUUGGGUUAAGUCCCGCAACGAGCGCAACCCUUAAGCUUAGUUGCCAUCAUUAAGUUGGGCACUCUAAGUUGACUGCCGGUGACAAACCGGAGGAAGGUGGGGAUGACGUCAAAUCAUCAUGCCCCUUAUGAUUUGGGCUACACACGUGCUACAAUGGACAAUACAAAGGGCAGCGAAACCGCGAGGUCAAGCAAAUCCCAUAAAGUUGUUCUCAGUUCGGAUUGUAGUCUGCAGCUCGACUACAUGAAGCUGGAAUCGCUAGUAAUCGUAGAUCAGCAUGCUACGGUGAAUACGUUCCCGGGUCU
rnacentral:rRNA from 1 species